UUCGCCAUCGCCGCAAAUCGCCAUCGCCCUCUGUCUUUCUCUCACAGAGAGGGAGCGAUUGUUGGGUAUUCGCUGUUGUGGUUGUUGAUGUGGGCCACCGGGAUGGGUUUUCUGAUCUAGCUGUUGUCGGCGAGGAUCGGUGUCGCCACGGGGAAGCACUUGGCGGAACUGUGUAGGAAAGAGUAUCAGUAUUGGGCUGGGUUGUUGUUGUGGUUCAUGUCAGAGCUUGCUUUGAUUGGGGCUAAUAUUCAGGAGGUGAUUGGGAGUGUAAUUGCUAUCAAGAUUCUCAGCAAUGGGUUUUUUCCUAUCUGGGCUGGUAUUGUUAUAACCGCUUCUGACUGUUUCAUCUUUUUAUUUUUGGAGAACUAUGGAGUGAGGAAAUUAGAAGCUAUUUUUGCAGUUCUCAUCUCAACUAUGGCAUUAUCGUUUUCCUGGAUGUUUGCUGAUGCAAAACCUAAUGGAAAAUAACUUAUCGUAGGUCUCUUGGUUCCAAAACUCAGCUCAAAAACAGUUAGGCAAGCUAUUAGAGUGGUGGGAUGCGUUAUUAUGCCUCACAAUGGAAAGAAUGGUCGGGCAUUCUUGUUCUCCCAUGCAAUGAACAUUGUUGUUGGGCCCAAAGAGUUGAUGUAUAUUGAUCUUGCUCUCUUGCAAUGUUGGUUCUAUAGAUCAGUCCUUGAGGAGGUUUGGUCUCACAAAAUUAGCACCGUUACAUUGUAAAUACGAAUUAGU